rnacentral:rRNA from 1 species
AUUGAACGCUGGCGGCAUGCCUUACACAUGCAAGUCGAACGGUAACAGGUCUUCGGAUGCUGACGAGUGGCGAACGGGUGAGUAAUACAUCGGAACGUGCCUAGUAGUGGGGGAUAACUACCCGAAAGAGUGGCUAAUACCGCAUGAGAUCUACGGAUGAAAGCAGGGGAUCGCAAGACCUUGUGCUACUAGAGCGGCCGAUGGCAGAUUAGGUAGUUGGUGGGAUAAAAGCUUACCAAGCCGACGAUCUGUAGCUGGUCUGAGAGGACAAUCAGCCACACGGGGACUGAGAAACGGCCCAGACUCCUACGGGAGGCAGCAGUGGGGAAUUUUGGACAAUGGGCGCAAGCCUGAUCCAGCAAUGCCGCGUGCAGGAUGAAGGCCUUCGGGUUGUAAACUGCUUUUGUACGGAACGAGAAGCCCCGGGUUAAUACCCUGGGGUCAUGACGGUACCGUAAGAAUAAGCACCGGCUAACUACGUGCCAGCCGCCGCCGUAA